GACCCUGUCUCAAACAAACAAAGGAAAGAAGACAGACAGACAGACAGAGGAGUAAGCUAAAACUCAGAGAGGUUAAACUGCUUAUCCGAGGAUGCAAAGCUUGAGUUGGAACAGAAGGUCUAUUUGACCUACUCCGAAAAGCUGUUACACCUUCCACUCAAAGCCCAGGACCUGAAGCUCAGGUGGAAGUGCCAGGCCAGGCGACCUCAGCAGAGUGAGUUCCAGGGAAGUCCCCUUUAACUGCUGGCUCUUGGUUUCCAUUCUUAGUUUGCUUCAAUGUCUGAACCACCCUCCGGCUGUGGGAAGCCUCGGGAUGGAAGAGUCUGCAGCUCCAAGCAAAAACCACAAGCUUUGCUGAAAAUUGAUGUUUGUAUUUGUACAGCAAUAAACAAACAAACAAAAGUU